GAUGAACGCUGGCGGCGUGCCUAAUACAUGCAAGUCGAGCGAACAGACGAGGAGCUUGCUCCUCUGACGUUAGCGGCGGACGGGUGAGUAACACGUGGAUAACCUACCUAUAAGACUGGGAUAACUUCGGGAAACCGGAGCUAAUAACGGAUAAUAUAUUGAACCGCAUGGUUCAAUAGUGAAAGACGGUUUUGCUGUCACUUAUAGAUGGAUCCGCGCCGCAUUAGCUAGUUGGUAAGGUAACGGCUUACCAAGGCGACGAUGCGUAGCCGACCUGAGAGGGUGAUCGGCCACACUGGAACUGAGACACGGUCCAGACUCCUACGGGAGGCAGCAGUAGGGAAUCUUCCGCAAUGGGCGAAAGCCUGACGGAGCAACGCCGCGUGAGUGAUGAAGGUCUUCGGAUCGUAAAACUCUGUUAUUAGGGAAGAACAAAUGUGUAAGUAACUAUGCACGUCUUGACGGUACCUAAUCAGAAAGCCACGGCUAACUACGUG
rnacentral:rRNA from 1 species